rnacentral:rRNA from 1 species
AAAACUAAAGCUGAACGCCCACAGGGCCGUUAUACGCAUCCGAGAGCAUGAAACCCCGCCACGAAGGUGGCUUUAACCUUACCCGAACCCACGAUAGCUAGGGCACAAACUGGGAUUAGAUACCCCACUAUGCCUAGUCGUAAACCUUAAUAGAAACUGCACCCCUUCUAUUCGCCAGGGUACUACAAGCACCAGCUUAAAACCCAAAGGACUUGGCGGUGCUUUAGACCCACCUAGAGGAGCCUGUCCUAGAACCGAUACCCCCCGUUCAACCUCACCACUUCUAGCCCAAACCGCCUAUAUACCACCGUCGUCAGCUUACCCCGUGAGGGACUAAUAGUAAGCUAAACUGGCACAGCCCAAAACGUCAGGUCGAGGUGUAGCGCACGAAGUGGGAAGAGAUGGGCUACAUUUUCUGACCCAGAAAACCACGGAAGGAAAAAUGAAAAGAUUCCCGAAGGAGGAUUUAGCAGUAAGCAGGGAAUAGAGCGCCCCACUGAAAUAGGCCCUUAAGCGCGCACACACCGCCCGUCACUCUCCCCAAGUCCUACCCUACCAUAACCUAUAGCCUUAUAUGGAUAAAGGGGAGGCAAGUCGUAA